CCUACGGGUGGCAGCAGUGGGGAAUAUUGGGCAAUGGGCGAAAGCCUGACGCAGCAAUGCCGCGUGAGUGAAGAAGGUCUUAGGAUUGUAAAAUUCUGUCCUAUGGGAAGAAAAAAAUGACGGUAGCAUAGGAGGAAGCCCCUGCCAACUACGUGCCAGCAGCGGCGGUAAUACGGAGGGGGCGAGCGUUGUCCGUAAUUACUGGGCGUAAAGAGGGCGGAGGCGGACCUACAAGUGUCAUGUGAAAUACACGGGCUUAACUUGGGGGUGGCAUGGCAAAGUGUAGUGCUUGAGUACAGGAGAGGAGAACGGAAUUCCUAGUGUAGCGGUGAAAUGCAUAGAGAUUAGGAGGAACACCAGUGGCGAAGGCGACUUGCUGGACUGAAACUGACGCUGAGGCUCGAAAGCGUGGGGAGCAAACAGGAUUAGAUACCCGUGUAGUC
rnacentral:rRNA from 1 species